rnacentral:tRNA from 1 species
GCCCCCGUAGCUCAAGUGGAUAGAGUUGCUGACUUCGAAUCAGACGGUUGCAGGUUCAAGUCCUGCCGGGGGUA